AGUCUCAGUUCGGAUCGCAGGCUGCAACUCGCCUGCGUGAAGCCGGAAUUGCUAGUAAUCGCGGAUCAGCAUGCCGCGGUGAAUACGUUCCCGGGCCUUGUACACACCGCCCGUCACACCAUGAGAGCCGGGGGGACCCGAAGUCCGUAGCCUAACCGCAAGGAGGGCGCGGCCGAAGGUAAAACUGGUGAUUGGGGUGAAGUCGUAACAAGGUAAC
rnacentral:rRNA from 1 species